rnacentral:sRNA from 1 species
UCGCAGCUUGCGGCCAGCGGCUUUGGUC